AACGAACGCUGGCGGCAUGCCUAACACAUGCAAGUCGAGCGAGACCUUCGGGUCUAGUGGCGCACGGGUGCGUAACGCGUGGGAAUCUACCCUUGGGUUCGGAAUAACAGUUAGAAAUGACUGCUAAUACCGGAUGAUGACGUAAGUCCAAAGAUUUAUCGCCCAAGGAUGAGCCCGCGUAAGAUUAGCUUGUUGGUGGGGUAAUGGCCUACCAAGGCGACGAUCUUUAGCUGGUCUGAGAGGAUUAUCAGCCACACUGGGACUGAGACACGGCCCAGACUCCUACGGGAGGCAGCAGUGGGGAAUAUUGGACAAUGGGCGAAAGCCUGAUCCAGCAAGGCCGCGUGAGUGAUGAAGGCCUUAGGGUUGUAAAGCUCUUUUACCAGGGAUGAUAAUGACAGUACCUGGAGAAUAAGCUCCGGCUAACUCCGUGCCAGCCGCCGCCGUAA
rnacentral:rRNA from 1 species